rnacentral:ncRNA from 1 species
AAACUCUGGUGGAGGUCCGUAGCGGUCCUGAUGUGCAAAUUGGUUGUCCAACCCAGGUCUAGGGGCAAAAGACUAAUCGAACCAUAUAGUAGCUGGUUCCCUCCCAAGUUUCCCUCAGGAUAGCUGGCACUUGGCGCGUGCACAGUUUUACCCGGUAAAGCGAAUAAAGGUACAAGCUAUUUCAAAAUAUUGAUGGUGUUACAGUUAAUUCAAAACUAGCAAUAAAACAGCAUUAUUAGCAAUUCCCCAAUAACUCAGGCUGGGAAAAUAAUCAGCUUUUCCUGUUUUCAGCAAAAGACUUGGUAUUUCUGUUAAAAGGUUAAGGGUCCCUCUUUUAAACAAACUUCACAUUUCAGUUUAUUUUGAAACUGUCUUUUGUUGAGAUCAUAGUCAGGAAAGGAGAACCUGAGCUUAUAAAUAAUGACUGCACAUCUGUUGACACAGUAUAGACAGUUUUUCAGUGACACUGCUGUUUAUUAAGGCAGUGAAAUCUGUUGAAUUCUGACUAAGGGGAAAAAAAGAGAUAAUGUCUUUUUUUCCUUCCCCCUUCCCUCUUCUCCUGUUAAGAGAUAUCUAGAGAGGGAGGAAAGUGCUGCUUUGCUCAACAGUUCAUGCAGUUCUGAUUCCAGCUAAUGGCACUUGGAAUGUCUGCACUUCACAGCCCCAGGGCUAACAGUCAGAAAAAUCCAAGUGCUGCUGGAGUAGCCUGUCCAAAAUGUAGCAGACACAAGCAGCUCCAGAAAGCAGCUGGUUCCAGGGAAUGCAUUUCCCUGGUUCCAGGGAAUGCAUUCGUGUAACACCGUGUGAUGCUUUCCUACAUCGAACGGGCAAACAGCUCGUGGGAGUAAAGGGAAGAGACUGCAGUGAGAGCUGUAAGCACAAAAACGUGGGCAACAAUCAAACCAAAAGAGGCUGAAGGUGCUGCGGAGGCUUAGGAUGAGCACUGCAGACACAUGUGGUCCUGGCAAGACCUAUGCAUAAUUUUUCACUUCUAUGCUGAAUACGUAUGUGUGUGAGAGAGAAAGACACUAGGCAAAAAAGGAAUUUGGCACUGCUGUCUGCUAGAGGCACUUUCAGUCGGGAGCUGCAGGUGAGGAAAGACUAAAACAACAACAUGCCAGAACAGAGUAUUUUUCUCUUAGUUGUUUUUCUUAUUUCUCACAUUAUGGACAUGCUUGAAUUUUAUUUUAUUUUAUUUUAUUUUAUUU